CAAUGGACGCAAGUCUGACCCAGCCAUGCCGCGUGCAGGAUGACAGCCUUAUGGGUUGUAAACUGCUUUUAUCAGGGAAUAACCCCCCGUACGUGUACGGGGCUGAAUGUACCUGAAGAAUAAGCAUCGGCUAACUCCGUGCCAGCAGCCGCGGUAAUACGGAGGAUGCAAGCGUUAUCCGGAUUUAUUGGGUUUAAAGGGUGCGCAGGCGGAUAAGUAAGUCAGUGGUGAAAUCUCUCGGCUCAACCGAGAAACUGCCAUUGAUAUUGUUUAUCUUGAGUGUAAAUGAAGUGGGCGGAAUGUAGCAUGUAGCGGUGAAAUGCAUAGAUAUGGUACAGAACACCAAUUGCGAAGGCAGCUCACUAAAUUACAACUGACGGUCAUGCAAGAAAGCGUGGGGAUCAAACAGGAUUAGAUACCUUGGUCGUCCACGCAGUAAACGAUGAUUACUCGUUGUGGCGAUACACAGUCAGCGACCAAAGC
rnacentral:rRNA from 1 species